rnacentral:tRNA from 1 species
CGCAUCGCUGGCCUAUGGCGAGCUGACGCUGACGACGACGUCGGCGAACCUGAUCGCGCUGCUUACGUUCCUUCGUGACGAUGUGC